UACGUAGGUGGCAAGCGUUGUCCGGAAUUAUUGGGCGUAAAGGGCGCGUAGGCGGCGCCACAAGUCACUUGUGAAAACUCUGGGCUCAACUCAGAGCCUGCAAGCGAAACUGUGGUGCUGGAGUAUGGGAGAGGUGCGUGGAAUUCCCGGUGUAGCGGUGAAAUGCGCAGAUAUCAGGAGGAACACCGAUGGCGAAGGCGACUACCUGGCCUGUUCUUGACGCUGAGGCGCGAAAGCUAGGGGAGCAAACGGG
rnacentral:rRNA from 1 species